CGGGUGCACUGAUCCGGCCGGGCCUUUCCCUCUGUGGAACCCCAUGGCCUUCACUGGCUGUGCGGGGGAAACAGGACUUUUACUGUGAAAAAAUUAGAGUGCUCCAGGCAGGCCUAUGCUCGAAUACAUUAGCAUGGAAUAAUAGAAUAGGACGCGUGGUUCUAUUUUGUUGGUUUCUAGGACCGCCGUAAUGAUUAAUAGGGACAGUCGGGGGCAUCAGUAUUCAAUUGUCAGAGGUGAAAUUCUUGGAUCUAUUGAAGACUAACUACUGCGAAAGCAUUUGCCAAGGAUGUUUUCAUUGAUAAGGAACGAAAGUUAGGGGAUCGAAGACGAUCAGAUACCGUCGUAGUCUUAACUAUAAACUAUGCCGACUAGGGAUCGGACGAUGUUAUUUCUUGACGCGUUCGGCACCUUUCGAGAAAUCAAAGUGCUUGGGCUCCAGGGGGAGUAUGGUCGCAAGGCUGAAACUUAAAGAAAUUGACGGAAGGGCACCACCAGGGGUGGAACCUGCGGCUUAAUUUGACUCAACACGGGGAAACUCACCAGGUCCAGACACAGUGAGGAUUGACAGAUUGAGAGCUCUUUCUUGAUUCUGUGGGUGGUGGUGCAUGGCCGUUCUUAGUUGGUGGAGUGAUUUGUCUGCUUAAUUGCGAUAAUGAACGAGACCUUAACCUGCUAAAUAGCCCGUACUGCUCUGGCAGUUCGCCGGCUUCUUAGAGGGACUAUCGG
rnacentral:rRNA from 1 species